GCAUGGCUGAAUUCCUUCAAAGCAACUGAUUGUUUUGUAAGGCCAGACACCAUGCUAGAGUAAUGCCAUUUCAUUUUGUUGUUAUCUUGCACUGCACUUUAUAGUUCAGAUGCAUGCAUGAUGACAUGGAUCUAAUAAUG